rnacentral:rRNA from 1 species
GAUGAACGCUGGCGGCGUGCCUAAUACAUGCAAGUCGAGCGAACAGACGAGGAGCUUGCUCCUCUGACGUUAGCGGCGGACGGGUGAGUAACACGUGGAUAACCUACCUAUAAGACUGGGAUAACUUCGGGAAACCGGAGCUAAUACCGGAUAAUAUAUUGAACCGCAUGGUUCAAUAGUGAAAGACGGUUUUGCUGUCACUUAUAGAUGGAUCCGCGCCGCAUUAGCUAGUUGGUAAGGUAACGGCUUACCAAGGCAACGAUGCGUAGCCGACCUGAGAGGGUGAUCGCACACACGGGAACUGGAACACGGUCCAGACUCCUGCGAGAGGCAGCAGUAGGGAAGCUGCCGCAAUGGGCGGAAGCCUGACGGAGCGACGCCGAUUGAGUGAUGAAAGUCACAGGAUCGUAAAACUCUGUUAUUAGGGAAGAACAGAUGUGUAAGUAACUGUGCACAUCUUGACGGUACCUAAUCAGAAAGCCACGGCGAACUACGUG